rnacentral:rRNA from 1 species
GUUUGAUCCUGGCUCAGAACGAACGCUGGCGGCGUGGCUAAGACAUGCAAGUCGCACGGGACGACUAAUUGGGUAACCGAAAAGUCGUUUAGCGGCGAAAGGGUGAGUAAUACAUAGGCAACGUACCCCGGUCACCGGGAUAGCUGCGGAACUUCGGUUCCUUUGCGAAAGUGCAGGUAAUACCGGAUGAUGUCUUCGGAUCGAAUGUUCUGAAGACCAAAUGGUUCGCCGGACUGGGAGCGGCCUAUGUCGUAUCAGCUAGUUGGUGAGGUAACGGCCCACCAAGGCAACGACGCGUACCGGGACUGAGAGGUUGGCCCGGCACAUCGGGACUGAGACACUGCCCGGACCUCCACGGAGGGCUGCAGUAACGAAUAUUGCGCAAUGGGCGAAAGCCUGACGCAGCGACGCCGCGUGUAGGAUGAAGUCCUUCGGGAUGUAAACUACUGUUGGGGUGACGAAAGAUCUGAUCGAUCCCUGAGGAAGCCACGGCUAACUUCGUGCCAGCAGCCGCGGUAAUACGAAGGUGGCAAGCGUUGUUCGGGAUCACUGGGCUUAAAGCGCAUGUAGGCGGAUAGUUAAGUGUCCUGUGAAAUCCCUCGGCUUACCCGAGGAACUGCGGGGCAAACUGGCUAUCUUGAGGCCGGUAGGGGUGUAUGGAACUCUUGGUGGAGCGGUGAAAUGCGUAGAUAUCAAGAGGAACGCCAGCGGAGAAAUCGGUACACUGGGCCGGCUCUGACGCUGAGAUGCGAAAGCGUGGGUAGCGAACAGGAUUAGAUACCCUGGUAGUCCACGCCGUAAACGAUGCCUACUAGGUCGUAGAUGUUCUGAAGCAUUUGCGGCCGAAGCAAAAGUGUUAAGUAGGCCGCCUGGGGAGUACGGUCGCAAGGCUAAAACUCAAAGGAAUUGACGGGGGCUCACACAAGCGGUGGAGCAUGUGGCUUAAUUCGAAAGCAACGCGAAGAACCUUAUCCUGGGUUUGACAUGCAUGGAUGCCCAUCCUGAAAGGGAGUAGGCUGCCUUCGGGUGAAACUUGCACAGGUGCUGCAUGGCUGUCGUCAGCUCGUGUCGUGAGAUGUCGGGUUAAGUCCCUUAACGAGCGAAACCCUUAUCGUUAGUUGCCAGCGGGUCAUGCCGGGAACUCUAACGAGACUGCCGGUGUUAAACCGGAGGAAGGUGGGGAUGACGUCAAGUCCUCAUGGCCUUUAUGCCCAGGGCUGCACACGUGCUACAAUGGUACCUAAUAAACCGACGCAAGACCGCGAGGUGGAGCAAAUCGGAGAAACGGUGCCUCAGUUCGGAUUGUAGGCUGCAAUUCGCCUACAUGAAGUUGGAAUCGCUAGUAAUCGCGGAUCAGCUUGCCGCGGUGAAUAUGUUCCUGAGCCUUGUACACACCGCCCGUCAAGUCAUGGGAGCCGGGAGUACCUGAAGUCGGGUAGCUAACCGUAAGGAAGCGCCUGCCGAUGGUAAGUUCGGUGACUGGGGCUAAGUCGUAACAAGGUA